rnacentral:rRNA from 1 species
AUCCUGGCUCAGGACGAACGCUGGCGGCGCGCUUAACACAUGCAAGUCGAGCGAGAACCAGGUCUUCGGACUUGGGGAAAGCGGCGAACGGGUGAGUAACACGUGGGUAAUCUGCCCUCGGCAUCGGGAUAGCCCGGGGAAACCCGGAUUAAUACCGAAUAGCCUCCGGAGCCUUCGGGCGACGGAGAAAAGGUGGCUUCGGCUUCCGGCUGGGGAUGAGCCCGCGGCGGAUUAGCUUGUUGGCGGGGUAACGGCCCACCAAGGCGACGAUCCGUAGCUGGUCUGAGGGGACGAUCAGCCACACUGGGACUGAGACACGGCCCAGACUCCUACGGGAGGCAGCAGUGGGGAAUCUUGCGCAAUGGGCGAAAGCCUGACGCAGCGACGCCGCGUGCGGGAAGAAGGCUUCGGGUUGUAAACCGCUUUCAGGAGGGACGAAGCCACCGGGUUAAUACCCCAGAGGGUGACGGUACUCAAAGAAGCCCGGCUAAAAAUGC